rnacentral:lncRNA from 1 species
UUAGCAAGUGAUGGAGAUGGAAUUUCACAUCCAGGAGUUGGGUACUGGUAAUUGUGAAGGGUUUGCUCAGGGGCCAGGCUCUCCCAUCCCUUUAAACCCUGGGACAUGGACAGGGGGAAAAGCACAUUUCCUCAGCAAUUAUCCUUUUCCCACGUGGGUGAGAAGUGGAUGAACUGGUGCCCAUGUAGUUCCUGCUGUUCAAAUCCACUGGGAAAAUCUCCAUUUCCAGAGCCAGGCUUUGCUCCCAUUUCCUAUUUCCCAUUUCCAGAGCCAGGCUUUGCUGCCUUUUCCCAUUUUUCAUUUCCCAUUCCCAGAGCAAGGAUUUAAUCCCAUUUCCCAGGGCCAGGCUUUGCUCCCAUUUCCCAUUUCCCAGAGCCAGGCUUUGUUCCCAUUUCCCAUUUCCAGAGCCAGGCUUUGCUCCCAUUUCCCAUUUCCAGGAUCAGGCUUUGCUCCCAUUUUCCAUUUCCAGAGCCAGGCUUUGCUCCCUUUUCUUUCCCCAUUCCCAGAGCCAGGCUUUGCUCCCUCUUCUUUCCCCAUUUCCCUUCCCCUGCUCUGCUCUGCUCCUGCAGGAUCGAUUGGAACAACAAGCUCUGUAAAUAUCAAUAUUUUUGUGCUGGAAGCAGCUGAAGUGAAACACCCCAAACACCGGCCAGGCUGCACAGACACAAACAAUUUAAUGGGAGAGCAGAGCAGGCAGGAGGAAAAGGAGAUUUUCUGUGUCUUGGGAAGGGAAAAUCAGCAGUGGAGGAGAGGAGGAAAAGGGACAGGAGAGCAGGGACAGCCAGAGGGCAGAGCAGGCUCCUGGGGUUUCUCAUUUUUGGGUGGUUUCCACUCAAUCCUGCUGCCAAAGAGCCUGUCCUGGGCCGGUUUGUGGUUCUGUGGGAUUGCAAACCCUGCAGGAGGAAGAACUCAGCGCUGGGUGUGAUUUAUGUCCUGGCUGCCCUUCCUUCCCCUGGCCACAGAAUCCCAGAACAUCCUGGGAGGGAACCUCACCCUGAGCUGCAUUUCCAACAACCCCUGCCCACAGCUCAGAGCUACAGGCAAAAGGACAUUUUGUUGUUGUUUCCUGGUGCCGAACACCCCCCAGAUUAGCA